rnacentral:rRNA from 1 species
AGGAUGAACGCUAGCGACAGGCCUAACACAUGCAAGUCGAGGGGCAGCACUAGGUAGCAAUACUGAGGUGGCGACCGGCGCACGGGUGCGUAACGCGUAUCCAACUUUCCCGUUACUCUGGGAUAGCCUUCCGAAAGGGAGAUUAAUACGAGAUGGUGUUUUAAUUUCGCAUGUUAUUAAAACUAAAGAUUUAUCGGUAACGGAUAGGGAUGCGUGACAUUAGAUAGUUGGCGGGGUAACGGCCCACCAAGUCCACGAUGUCUAGGGGUUCUGAGAGGAAGGUCCCCCACACUGGAACUGAGACACGGUCCAGACUCCUACGGGAGGCAGCAGUGAGGAAUAUUGGUCAAUGGCCGAGAGGCUGAACCAGCCAAGUAGCGUGAAGGAUGAAGGUUCUAUGGAUUGUAAACUUCUUUUAUACGGGAAUAACAUCACCUACGUGUAGGUGCCUGCAUGUACCGUAUGAAUAAGCAUCGGCUAACUCCGUG